rnacentral:rRNA from 1 species
GUAGGUGGAUAAUUAAGUCAGAGGUGAAAUCCUGCAGCUUAACUGUAGAAUUGCCUUUGAUACUGGUUGUCUUGAGUUAUUAUGAAGUGGUUAGAAUAUGUAGUGUAGCGGUGAAAUGCAUAGAUAUUACAUAGAAUACCAAUUGCGAAGGCAGAUCACUAAUAAUAUACUGACACUGAUGGACGAAAGCGUGGGGAGCGAACAGGAUUAGAUACCCUGGUAG